CUGAUCUUCAAACUCACCACUCCCAUGUGAAACAGGUUCUGCAGACGUUGUUGAAAAAUAAACUUUAUUGUAAAUUAGAAAAGUGCAUUUUUGACCAGCCUGAAGUCCACUUUUUGGGUUACAACAUCUCUGCAUCUGGGUUUCAAAUGGAUCCUAAAAAACUAGAGGCUGUACUACACUGGCCAUUACCCUCUGGUUUAAAAGCCAUUCAAAGGUUUAUUGGUUUUGCCAACUAUUACAGAAGAUUCAUCAAGG